AAUAGAUACCCAGGUAGUCCACGCCGUAAACGAUGAAUACUAGGUGUAGGGGUUGUCAUGACCUCUGUGCCGCCGCUAACGCAUUAAGUAUUCCGCCUGGGGAGUACGGUCGCAAGAUUAAAACUCAAAGGAAUUGACGGGGGCCCGCACAAGCAGCGGAGCAUGUGGUUUAAUUCGAAGCAACGCGAAGAACCUUACCUAGACUUGACAUCUCCUGCAUUACUCUUAAUCGAGGAAGUCUUUUCGGGGACAGGAUGACAGGUGGUGCAUGGUUGUCGUCAGCUCGUGUCGUGAGAUGUUGGGUUAAGUCCCGCAACGAGCGCAACCCUUAUUGUUAGUUGCCAUCAUUAAGUUGGGCACUUUAGCGAGACUGCCCGGGUUAACCGGGAGGAAGGUGGGGAUGACGUCAAAUCAUCAUGCCCCUUAUGUCUAGGGCUACACACGUGCUACAAUGGUCGGUACAAUAAGACGCAAGCCCGCGAGGGGGAGCAAAACUGGAAAACCGAUCUCAGUUCGGAUUGUAGGCUGAAACCCGCUACA
rnacentral:rRNA from 1 species